GGCCGUUUAGCUCAGCUGGCUAGAGCGUGGUGCUAAUAACGCCAAGGGUCCUGGGUUCGAUCCCCAUACUGGCCA